rnacentral:rRNA from 1 species
GUAGGAGGCGAGCGUUAUCCGGAAUUACUGGGCGUAAAGGGCGUGUAGAUGGUUUUUUAAGUCGGCUGUGAAAUCUCCCGGCUCAACCGGGAGGGGUCAGUCGAUACUGGGAAACUUGAGUGCAGCAGAGGAAGGUGGAAUUCCCGGUGUAGCGGUGGAAUGCGUAGAUAUCGGGAGGAACACCAGUGGCGAAGGCGGCCUUCUGGGCUGUAACUGACAUUGAGGCGCGAAAGCGUGGGGAGCGAAGCAGAUCAGAUACCCGCGUAGUCCACGCCCUAAACGGUGGACACUAGGUAUGGGGGGUAUCGACCCCCCCUCCCGUGCCGUAGCUAACGCUUUAAGUGUCCCGCCUGGGGACUACGAUUGCAAGAUUA